rnacentral:rRNA from 1 species
AAUAUUGCACAAUGGGGGAAACCCUGAUGCAGCGACGCCGCGUGAGUGAAGAAGUAUUNCGGUAUNUNAAGCCCUAUCAGCGGGGNAAAAAAUGACGGUACCUGAAUAAGAAGCCCCGGCUAACUACGAGCCAGCAGCCGCGGUAAUCCGUAGGGGGCAAGCGUUAUCCGGAUUUACUGGGUGUAAAGGGAGCGUAGGUGGUUUGGUAAGUGAGAUGUGAAAGCCCGGGGCUCAACCCCGGGACUGCAUUUGAAACUAUCAAACUAGAGUGCAGGAGAGGUAAGUGGAAUUCCUAGUGUAGCGGUGAAAUGCGUAGAUAUUAGGAGGAACACCAGUGGCGAAGGCGGCUUACUGGACUGUAACUGACACUGAGGCUCGAAAGCGUGGGGAGCAAAC